rnacentral:rRNA from 1 species
CACAUCGACGGGGAGGUUUGGCACCUCGAUGUCGGCUCAUCGCAUCCUGGGGCUGUAGUCGGUCCCAAGGGUUGGGCUGUUCGCCCAUUAAAGCGGUACGCGAGCUGGGUUCAGAACGUCGUGAGACAGUUCGGUCCCUAUCCGUCGUGGGCGUAGGAAAUUUGAGAGGAGCUGUCCUUAGUACGAGAGGACCGGGAUGGACAUACCUCUGGUGUACCAGUUGUCGUGCCAACGGCAUCGCUGGGUAGCUAUGUAUGGACGGGAUAAGUGCUGAAAGCAUCUAAGCAUGAAGCCCCCCUCAAGAUGAGAUUUCCCAACUUCGGUUAUAAGAUCCCUCAAAGAUGAUGAGGUUAAUAGGUUCGAGGUGGAAGCAUAGCGAUAUGUGGAGCUGACGAAUACUAAUCGAUCGAAGACUUAAUCAAAUAU